AGUGUUCAAUGGAACAAAACCAACUAUUUUCAAUUCAUUUACUAUGAUUAUAUUGACCCUUAGAAGGAUGAUGAAAAUAAAGGUGACAAUAGAGAUGAAACAAUCUGUCUAUAGCCUAUGUGGCAAGUAUACCUUUUUAUAGAGGUUCUACCAAGCCAAAGUGUUCUAUCCUGUGUCGAAACAUGUCUGACUAUGGAUUACUGGCAGUGCUCUCCAUCUCCCGGGAACGCCACAUAGCAGAGAUAAGACAGAUCCAACAUCAUUUAAUAAUCUCCAUGGAUCUCCCUCAAGGGACCCCUGAGAGAGAAAGAGCGAGCUGAAAUGGCCCUGUCCGGCUGAGCACACUGCUGCUGAGUGCACCCUCGGUCUCAGCCUUCCUCUACCCUGACUCCCCCCUCCCUCUCAUCUCUCGUUCUCACCACGAGAG